rnacentral:rRNA from 1 species
GACGAACGCUGGCGGCGUGCUUAACACAUGCAAGUCGAACGGAAAGGCCCUGCUUGCAGGGUGCUCGAGUGGCGAACGGGUGAGUAACACGUGGGUGAUCUGCCCCUUAUUUUGGGAUAAGCCUGGGAAACUGGGUCUAAUACUGGAUAGGACCAUGCUGUAGGUGGUGUGGUGGAAAGAUUAGUUUCGGUAAGGGGUGAGCUCGCGGCCUAUCAGCUUGUUGGUGGGGUAAUGGCCUACCAAGGCGUCGACGGGUAGCCGGCCUGAGAGGGGGGACGGCAACAUUGGGACUGCGAUACGGCCCAGAAUCCUACGGGAGGCAGCAGUGGGGAAUAGUGCACAAUGGGCGCAAGCCUGAUGCAGCGACGCCGCGUGGGGGAUGAAGGCCUUCGGGUUGUAAACUCCUUUCAGCCAUGACGAAGCCCUUGUGGUGACGGUAGUGGUAGAAGAAGCACCGGCUAACUACGUG